AGCUUUUCCAUUCGUUCAGCCCGAGUGAGCGAAUGUUCUAGGUUUACAGCGCUCAUGGCGGCAGGUUCAGCAAUCGCAACUGUAAAUACGCUAUAGUAAAAGUCAAUGGUUUUGGUCAAAGUAAAAAAGCGGGCCCUGUUACUAUGAGUAAGUUAACAGUCACGGGACUUAUGACGUGACUGAAAAAACAUCCAAGGUUACAGUUGAAAGUGCCAUAAUCCGUUCAACGACGAAUGCUGCAAUCACU